CUUCAGGGCUGUGGGGAGCGGGCGCGCUGGGGGGUGAUGGCGCCGCGCUGAGGUCCGCCACCCGCCCAUCCCCACAGUGACGCGCGAAGGGCAGGCCGCGGGUACCGCCACAGUCAGUGUUAAUGCAUAACUGACGGUAACUUAAGGCCUUCGGGCCUUUACAUGCGCAAAGCUAGCCUGCAUCUUUAAGGAAACACACUAACAAAACCCACUUUUUUUUUUCUUUUUUUCUUUUUUUUUUUUCUACGGAAAGAACAGUAGUAUUGGUGCUGGCAUUUAACGUUUUCACAAGAUGCUUUAAUUCUGGAUGAGGUGAAACACACAGAAGAGCCAGUGGUUUCGUACCUGACCCAUUAAAAGCAGCAACCGCUCCCUUAACUCUGAGUAAUAAUCCCGCAUCCGUUCCUCACCCGUUUCAUCCCAUAACGCAACACGCAAAGACGCCGAGCCUUUUAACUUGCAGCACACCUACAGCUGUUAUGCUUUCCAUUGGAGAAAUACCCCUAAAACACCAGAUCACCACUCUUCUUUCAGUGCCAACAUAAAUGUUCCCACAGCACUCACAUGCGCGCCCCUUCAUUCCGCAGAACGGCAACCCAGGCGGGCAAAGAACCAGCACUGAGCUGCUUUAAGGGUGGAGUACUGGGAAGGAAAGGACCUGUGAGAGAUUUUUGGACUAAAAGCACGAAAAGCUUUUAUUCUUCAACUUAAAUCUGCAUAGAUGCACCAGAAUACCCUCAUGAAUGCAAAAGGCCUCCGUCAGUUGCUGCUCAUGGAGAUACGUCACUUUCUCCACACAGCAACCAAUGCUGACAGUAUUCUGGUGGGAGGGAUGGAGGUUCCAAGAAAACAUGCCCCAGUAACAGAGAAGAUGAGGGUGACAGUAAAUGUUCUGAUUUUCGCUUCUUUCUCUGGCUGUUUCCAGGUGUAGCAGAGGUAACAUUGCUGAAUAGGAGAAAUAUGGAUAAAAUAGACCUGGGUUAUAUCCAAGGUUGAACCAACCUUGAUGACUGUAUGAUUAGAUUGGUCUUCAGCAAUUA
ensembl:lncRNA